UUGGAAGUUGAUGGAAGUGGUCAAUAAAAGGGAAAUUGAAGCCAAAAAUUCUGCACUUUAGGUGUGAGGGUGUGCGUAGAACAUCAGGAGAAACACAAAGGGAGCCAAAACUCUUGUUCAUCAAGAAUCACUAAAUUGGUGAUGAAUUUAUGAUCCAAUCUUAUGCAUGAAUGAAGAUCUCAACCUUACAAACAUGUGGAUCAUGUCAAGGUGGGUGGAAGCGUGGAAGGCUAAUGGGAAGGAUGCGAGGAAGCAAGUACGAAACAGACGCUUAAGGUUAGUCAGAUAUUCAUGAUGGACAAGUGAACGAGGGUCGAGUUGAAGAUCAUGGAUUGUACGGGAAAGCGGUCACGUUGUUUGUAACUAUUUAGGGUCUUACAGAUUCUUAUGUGAUGAACUUGUCAUUAGCUUCGUACAAGCCUCUACUUAACAUGUAUAGCGCUAUAGGAGUAAUGCACCACCCGUGAACGAGAGGUCAUGUUAGGUUUUUUCAUUCAUACUUGCGUAAACAGAGGGUUGAGUUGUAAAUCGAA